GCCAGACUCUUCAUCAUAGGCCCAUUCCUGGGCACAAAGCAAUUCUGAUAGAAUCUUCCAGAGGAGAAGCAAAGAAGUGAGGCCAAGAGCAGGCAGGUGGGGCAGCAACCGCAGGGCCUUCCCUGGCCCUGCAGCCCAGUGGGACCCCAGCCAGCCACUUCUGGUGGGCUCUGUUCAAGGUUCUCCACCUUCCUCCAGAUCUGGGUUGUAGUAGUAAUUAUGGUGACCUUCAUUUUCAAAGCCUGAGCUACAAGGCCCUGGAGGUCAUG
rnacentral:lncRNA from 1 species